UGGGUUAUACUUCCUGUGUACCUCAAUGGAAGCUGCAUUAGCCAACAAUGUUCCAGGUCAACAAGGUAUGAAAUGUCACCUUCUCCUUCAGCCACCUGCUUGCCCUUGCCCACCCUAAGUGUCACAGUGUGAACUUACAGAGGGGCCCACUUUUUCCAGCACUACCCAGGAAGACCAAUGGAGAGUGAGGACAUUGUGGCCUGUUCAUAUUUCCAAUGUAAGAAAGAACCAACCCUCAGAACAGCUUUCUCUUCAAAGAGCUGGCCUGAUCUUUGGAAGUGGUAGAUUUAGGGCCACUGGGUACUAAGUGUUGUUCUGGAAUGAGCAGCACUGGCCUGCUAAUGGGGACACACAGGCAAUCACAGAGGGUGAGCCUCAGGCUGAUGCUGGCACCACUAGGGGCAGUGGUGAUUUUUCAGCAACACCUGAGAGUAUUUGGGACCUUGGAGUAGAGUAUUCACCCGGAUUUGGCCAGAGGUGAGCAGUAGAAGUAGAAAUGGGCAGGUGAGUAGGAGGGCCAAUGAUCCACAUAAGAAAAGGAAGACGAUGCCAGGGCCUUUUCUACUGGGGCCCCUCUGGUCACCUGGCCUCCCUGUCUACAUUCCCACCUUUCCAGUGGCCUUUGCAGCAUUUAGUCUGUAGCUAUCUUCAUCUGGUCCCCCAAACUUUUAUCUUCAAGACUGCUUCUCCCUACUUGCAGUCUACCCUCUCUCUGCCUCUUGGUCUCUUCCCCUCUCUCUAGCUGCCCGUUUUUGUGUGUGCAUCUAGCCAACACCAAUCAACAAGCUCUCCAGGGGCAGGUGUAGAGCCUCUUCUCUUGGAUGUGGCCUCCAGGAGCAGCUGUGUCCCUGCGGUACCUACAGCUUUGAAGCCCAAGCAAGCCACAAAGAAUUGAUGAAGAGUGAAACUGUGUCCAAGGCAAUUGAGCAAACACUCUCUGUAUAGAGUCAUCCCAGCCCACUAGUAACAGCUGAAGGAAGACAGAACGAGUUUAGAGAUGUACAUCAAGGCUUCUCCCACCUCACAUGCCUCCAAAGCAUUCCUCGGCUUCCAGGGAAGAGCAUGAGAGUCAUGGUGAACACUGAUAAUUAAAGUCAACAUCUCAGCACAUUGAGUCAAUUUCUUGAAAAAAAAUUUUUCAGCACCAGGAACCUCCAAUACCAUAGUCCUCUCUUGGUCCUGACCUGACCAUUUUCCAAGUGAUGCAGGAGAGUCUUUCAGCCCCAAUGUCUAGAAGCAGCAAAGAAGCAACUGACCUGCCUAUGACAAAGACAAAGAGCAGAGCAGAAGGAAAAUUUAGAGCAUUUUAUUUUCAUUAAAACAU